AGGGGGACGUGGGGACCGCCCGGCGCUGCCGUGCGCAGUAGCGGGAUACGGGUGGGGGGCGAGUGUGCCCAGGGGCGCGCGCGAGUGCCCGCCUGCCUGGAGACCGAGGCGCGGGCGUGGAGGGCGGCGGAGGCUCCGGGAUUUAGGUAUUCGCGUCCACCUCAGUCUGCUCCUUCUGAAGUCGCCUGUGUUCUUCUAACAACCCUAGAAAUUCUUCAGCCCGGAGCUGUGUACUCAACAGGCAGACGGCUCAGUCUGUGUAUGUUGUCUGAGUGUCUGGAAUGUACACCUGGUUCCUCUCCACUGGCACCCACAAUUUAAGAAAGUAAAUAGACGCUUUCAAGGAGAAACAUGCCUCGCAGACUUGGAGGGAGUGGUGAAAGAUGAACGGGCUCAGCCACAAGGGGAGAAGAACGUCACCCAACCCCUAGAAUAGCAACAGCAAUAAAUAUGGUCAUGUCGCUCUUCUGCUGAGGCCAAAACGACAGACGGGAUCACAUUUGCGGCACCCAGCGCCUGCUGGCUCUGUGGAGCUGGCUCAGGGCUUUGGAGGAAACAUGCACAGAAGUUGAUGCUGACCAAGCGGCUUGAUUUUGGAGCUGUGACUUAGCAUACAAAGAAGAGGAGUGGGUGGCGGGGUGUACAGAGCCCACCGCAGAGCUAGGGGGACUCAGCACCCUUCUGGUCGCAGGGAGGUUCGUUCUAAAUCGGCUUUCUGGACAGCUGGCUCAGGGCUCUGGAGAGCUGAGCCCAGAACUUCCCCGCAUGUCUGCCUGAGAACUCGCUGUUAUCUGCAGCUGCCGUGGCCGUCAAGGCACAUGCGUAAUGAGGAAGGUGAAUAAGAGGGCUCUCGUUGGUCAUCGGUUAUUUAAAGCGCGCCCAUCGGAUUUCAGCCGCUUCAUUGUACAGAAUCAGCACCUUUGCCCGACAGGUCUCGGAGGAAGCAGCAUAUCCUUGCCUUCAAACCUUCCUGGUCUCCUUUGGCAGACCGGACACUGGUUUUUCACCAUUUUUGCAGUUCCGAGUGCUACAUCUUCCCAUGUCCCUUUUCAUGUAUUCUUCAGUUUCAUAUACUAUAUGGCCACGUCUCUGGGUGGUUGUGGUUUUGCCAUCUUUACAUUCUUUGGCCAUGUGGAUUUGGUCAAAUUGGGCUUUUCCAUUUUUUGUAACUUGCAUACAGCAAUCGUUUCUUUUCAGGCUGAAAACAGUUUAAGCUAAUAUAUGAUCCUGACUUUUUUCCAUGUGUUUUAAAAACUAAA